rnacentral:lncRNA from 1 species
GACAUUAUUUGAAGUUCGAAGGUCCCUCUUUCCCUUUUCCUUGACUAUCAUUUUUUUUUCAGAACCGUUUCCUUUGUUUGUGUGAUUGAACAUAACGUAAUUAAGGACAUGCCUGUUCAGUGAAAAUUGUUUCUUCAUUUUUCCUUGGAUCUUGAAAAAGAAUGUGAUUAUUUUUUUAAGGGCUCCGUAGGUGUUGAAUGAGGUAGAUAAUAAUUAGGGAGUGAAAUUGGAAAGAAUGUAAGCAUAUGUCCGCGCAUACAUGAUAACAGAAUUGACGGUGCUUUUGCCAUCGACAUGCAUGUAGGGGAUGUGCUAGCUUCUCUCGCGUGCGAGUGUGAGGUUGGUGGGGACAAUGUUGUCCCCAAGUGUGUAGUCGGACGCGUCCUCACUGUCCCAAAGCGAGGCAGCCUGAAAAUUUUCUCCGUCGUCGACAGAGACAACCUGCUUGGUCAUUGAAUAUUUUGACCUACAUGUCCUCCUUCCUCUUAUCCUUUUUUGUCUUUGUAUGAUUGAACUAAUAUAAUUAAAUAAGGUAGUGCUUUUUAGUGACUAACGUUCCUGUUUAUGGUUUUUAUACCAUCAUGUAUACCCGUUGCUCUUGAUUUUCUUUCCAUCGACUUAUGGUAAAGGUACUAAAUGAUGAUAGUAAGUUAUGAAUGCCAAAUACAGAUUACAGUGUAGUGUUAAUAUGUUUAUGGCCCCUCCACUUUUUUUCCACUCUUGGGAUGACAUUGGCAGUGUGAGGCCCCUCUACCCCUAUUCAACAAACUUAAAAAUAAUUAGUAUACUUAUGGUUAGCUACAAUUUUAAUAUUUUCCAAAGACAAAUUAAGAUUCAAAACGAAAUUUUAAAAUAGGUCUGAUUGCGUUGUAGAUAUACAAUGUAUCGACUCUGCAUAUGUUAAUUCACUGGCUUCUUCACACAUCCAUCUAGUGUGUAAAUUUAGUGAUUCCUACUCUUUCUUUCGUUAUGAUCUUUGUUAAAUCUGUAGAAUCAGAGAAAAUGACUUGCUGCUCAUUUUCCAUGUAGAAAGGCAAUCUUUUGACGUAAGGAUCUCUGAAGUGCAAUUCAAACUGAACUAUUUUCCAACAAUUAGAAGUGUGGCUUGGUCAUCACCUUUAUUUAUGUAUUUAAAAAGGUAUUUUAUUGAUAAGGAUCUGUUGCACACCUCUACAUUUAUAUGUGCUUGAUAUUUGGCCAGUAGAUAUCUGUUGAAUGGGACUACAACAGAAUUGAUGUGCAAAGCAUAAGCAACAUAAUGUUGCUUCCUGUGCAUCAUUAGUGUUAAAGUUUAGAACCAAAGGGAUGAUAAGUUGAUAACACACAUAAGGGUAAAACUUUGUGAAGAUUUUGUUACUUGAAGUGGAUAAAAGGUUGUCCUUUCGGUGUGGCUGUGUAGUGUGGGACAUCCCCAUGUAUGAUUGAAGACUGUCUAUUUAUCUUUUCUUGCAGUUUCAUUCUCCUUUCAAUCUUGACAUUUUGUUGAUUGUCUGGUUUUGCAUCAAUAAGAUAAUAAGUUAAAAUAUUGUUUUCUUGUCCAAGCUAAAAUCAAUUAGGAACCUCUUGUGCCUAACUGGAAUUGUUGUCUUUCUAGUUGUAACAUUCUUGUGAUAUCACAUAUAAAAGAUUCAUGAUUCGUAACGGUUCAUCUUGUUGGAUUGUGUAUUUGAUGUGUUUUAACAACCUUUUGCAGGUUUCUCAAAUUCCAUGCUAUGUGGCCCACUAUUUCUUUUCAUUGUUUAUUCCUGCACAAUAGAGAAUGAAAAUAUAAAGUUCAAGAGGAUGAUAUUAUAAUAUUAUUACAAACAGUGGUAGAACCAAAUUUGUGUUUUUUUGGGGAGAUGGAUCAUGGAUGACUACAAAGAUCAAUGACGAUGAACCUGCUGAUAUUUGGAGAUGGGAGUAUCUUGCUCCGCCGCUUGAGAACUGGGCCGGCCAGCCCUGUUCGUCCCAAUGGUUGGUCCACCACAGGUUAUGGAUUAAUGCUCAAGUUUGUGAAGAUUCAUUAUUUUUAUUACUUUUUGCCUUACUUUUCACGUUAUUUUUAUGCCAUUUGUACUUGAUUAAUGAGGUAUUUUAUUUAGACAGAAUUACUGAGGUAUUCAGUCCAAAUAUUAUGUGAACCAUUAUCUGAUCUAGAUACUGCAAGUAGAUAUCAUACUGCAGUAUCCUUACCCUUUGCUUCUUAAUAGACUUCAGACCUAUGGUCGCCGUUCCGCAAUCCUAGAUUAUAGUAGAGGAGGAUGCUAUAAUUCUGUGAGAUGGUACUUACUAAAGAUGGUCUGAUCUCUUGACAGAGCCGAUUAUGAUUGAGGAUAGUCGACAUGAGAUUGGGGUGCAGGUGACCGAUGUAGGAAGACAAUGCUUAAGUGCCACUUGUUGGAGGAAGUUGUCAAAGUGUUGUUUGCCGGAGGAAGAUGAUGUAAUAGGGGUACUCUGAAAUCUAAAGGACAAUGCAUUUUUGAGAUGGUCGAAGCAUUGCAUGGGGAAAGUAUUUUACGGAUGGCUGAGUUGACCACACUUGCUCGAUGGAAAGACAGGUUGCUUGGAUGCGGAGAGACUUUAUCUAUGUACGUGAACGUGAGAUUUUGUUUAUGUUUGGAGAGAUUAUGUCUAGAUUUUAUUUAUGUACGUGAACGUGAGAUUUUGUUUAUGUUUGGAGAGACAUGUCUUUGUAAAAUAUUGAUAGAGUUUGGUUAUUGCGUCAGGAUCGUUUGACUAGUUAUAUAUUUUUAAACAUGUGAUGAUAAGUUUUUUUAAUUAUGGGACGGCUGUGUAUUUUUUUUUUACAUCAAGACGGCUGUGUACUUUUAAACGUGUGUUGAUCAGUUUU